CACGUAGGGGGCAAGCGUUAUCCGGAUUUACUGGGUGUAAAGGGAGCGCAGACGGCAGUGCAAGUCUGGAGUGAAAGCCCGGGGCCCAACCCCGGAACUGCUCUGGAAACUGUGUGGCUAGAGUACUGGAGGGGCAGGCGGAAUUCCUAGUGUAGCGGUGAAAUGCGUAGAUAUUAGGAGGAACACCAGUGGCGAAGGCGGCCUGCUGGACAGUAACUGACGUUGAGGCUCGAAAGCGUGGGGAGCAAACAGG
rnacentral:rRNA from 1 species